rnacentral:lncRNA from 1 species
UUUUGCAAAAAAGAUAGUAACUUUGGCCUUAUGCCAUUGCAUUUUCAAACUUCUUUUAUUGAAUCAAACUUGUAAAAAAAUUUAACUAUACUUGACUUAAACUUAAAAAAAAGCCAAAAAAAAAGAACUAACUCAUUCAAACCAUUUUUAGGCCUUUGUGCCUUUCAAACUUAAUUUUUGUUAAAAGUAAUGCACCCACUUUGAAAGUUGUAUCACGAACUACGAGGUUUUGAUCCCUCAUUUUUAUGUUGGUUUGUAGGCACAAGACCGAAGGUCUUGUCAAACACAAAAAUAUAAUUA